UACGUAGGUGGCAAGCGUUAUCCGGAAUUAUUGGGCGUAAAGCGCGCGCAGGCGGUUUCUUAAGUCUGAUGUGAAAGCCCGCGGCUCAACCGUGGAGGGUCAUUGGAAACUGGGGAACUUGAGUGCAGAAGAGGAAAGUGGAAUUCCAAGUGUAGCGGUGAAAUGCGUAGAGAUUUGGAGGAACACCAGUGGCGAAGGCGACUUUCUGGUCUGUAACUGACACUGAGGCGCGAAAGCGUGGGGAGCAAACAGG
rnacentral:rRNA from 1 species